CAAUAGCGUAUAUUAAAGUUGUUGCAGUUAAAAAGCCCGUAGUUGGAUUUGUGGCUGUCACGGGCGGCCUAUCACUUAGUGUUAGUGCUUGCCUGUGUCGCCAUCCUUGGGUGGAGCCCGUGUGGCAUUAGGUUGUCGUGCGGGGGAUGCCCAUCGUUUACUGUGAGAAAAUUAGAGUGUUCAAAGCAGGCUUAUGCCGUUGAAUAUGUUAGCAUGGAAUAAUAAGAUAGGACCUCGGUACUAUUUUGUUGGUUUGCGCACCGAGGUAAUGAUUAAUAGGGACAGUUGGGGGUAUUCGUAUUUCAUUGUCAGAGGUGAAAUUCUUGGAUUUCUGAAAGACGAACUACUGCGAAAGCAUUUACCAAGGAUGUUUUCAUUAA
rnacentral:rRNA from 1 species